rnacentral:lncRNA from 1 species
UUUUUUUAAUCUUUUCUUUGAUAAACACUCGGAAUCUCAUCCUUUCACCAGCUUGAGGCCAAAGAAGAAAGAAUUAAAAAGAAUGUCCUGGAAACUAAGAAAACACUGAGAGCAGGAAGGAAACCGAGACAGCCACAGCCAUACUGAAUUUCUCAUAAGUGUUCGGAGGAGCUGCUGACCAUGCACAGGUGCAGCCCAAGUCACCAGAGCUCAUAAAGGAUGUGCAUGCUGUCACGUCUACGUGAAGUAUUUCCAUGACCUGACCAUGGACAGAGGGAGGGACUGAGCUAGAGGAAGCUUCAUCAAGGAGCCAUGACUCUGCCACCCAGUUGUAGAAGAUUCUGUUUGAGUGUGAAGAUAGAGUCAUGCAUCCUUUCUUCCUCCCAGAUCACCUAGGACUGGAGGGUGAGUGGUCACUGCAGCAUGCUCUAAUUCGAAAGUGCUAGAAGAUCAAAGAAGGAGGAGGAGAUCAACACAAAUUAAAACCAAAU